rnacentral:rRNA from 1 species
AGUGAACGCUGGCGGUAGGCCUAACACAUGCAAGUCGAACGGCAGCACAGUAAGAGCUUGCUCUUACGGGUGGCGAGUGGCGGACGGGUGAGGAAUACAUCGGAAUCUACUUUUUCGUGGGGGAUAACGUAGGGAAACUUACGCUAAUACCGCAUACGACCUACGGGUGAAAGCAGGGGAUCUUCGGACCUUGCGCGAUUGAAUGAGCCGAUGUCGGAUUAGCUAGUUGGCGGGGUAAAGGCCCACCAAGGCGACGAUCCGUAGCUGGUCUGAGAGGAUGAUCAGCCACACUGGAACUGAGACACGGUCCAGACUCCUACGGGAGGCAGCAGCGGGGAAUAUUGGACAAUGGGCGCAAGCCUGAUCCAGCCAUACCGCGUGGGUGAAGAAGGCCUUCGGGUUGUAAAGCCCCUUUGUUGGGAAAGAAAAGCAGCAGGUUAAUACCCCGCUGUUCUGACGGUACCCAAAGAAUAAGCACCGGCUAACUUCGUG